UACGUAGGGGGCAAGCGUUGUCCGGAUUUAUUGGGCGUAAAGAGCGUGUAGGCGGCCAGACAGGUCAGCUGUGAAAACUCGAGGCUCAACCUCGAGACGUCGGUUGAAACCGUCUGGCUAGAGUCCGGAAGAGGAGAGUGGAAUUCCCGGUGUAGCGGUGAAAUGCGCAGAUAUCGGGAAGAACACCCGUGGCGAAGGCGGCUCUCUGGGCCUGUACUGACGCUGAGGAGCGAAAGCGUGGGGAGCGAACAGG
rnacentral:rRNA from 1 species